UACGUAGGGGCAAGCGUUGUCCGGAAUUAUUGGGCGUAAAGCGCGUGUAGGCGGCUCGGUAAGUCUGCUGUGAAAGUCCAGGGCUCAACCCUGGAAUGCCGGUGGAUACUGUCGAGCUCGAGUCCGGAAGAGGCGAGUGGAAUUCCUGGUGUAGCGGUGAAAUGCGCAGAUAUCAGGAGGAACACCAAUGGCGAAGGCAGCUCGCUGGGACGGUACUGACGCUGAGACGCGAAGCGUG
rnacentral:rRNA from 1 species